UUUAUUUAUUUAUUUAUUUAUUUAUUUAUUUAUUCAUGAGCGACAGAGAGAGAGAGGCAGAGACACAGGCCAAGUGAGAAGCAGGCUCCAUCCCCCGAUGUGGGACUCAAUCCCGGGUCACCAGGAUCACGACCUGGGCCAAAGGCAGGUGCUAAACCACUGAGCCACCCAGGGAUCCCCUAUAUUCCACUUUUGAGUCAGGAAGUUACAGAUAUUUUAGAGUCCCUUGAUGUGACUUUUAAAGUCUUAGAGUCCAUUAUCACAGGGCAAUGUCAACUUGUGUUCAUUUAUCAUGGAGAUUCCAUUAGUUUGAGUGUAUCUUGCUGGUUUGCAACCUGUGAACUAGUGGUAACCAUUUGUCACUGUAUUUUUGUAAUUUCUUUCAAUUCCAAUAGUCUUGCCAAUUUUGUUCUGAAAAUUAAACGGUGGAGGCAUUAGCACUUUGAAUACUGUCUAGGAAAUGUAAAAAAAAAAUGACAGUGGAUAGUGCUUAUAAAUUCUAAGUACCACUCACUAGUAACAUAAAGAAAACUAACAGAAAGAAAACUAACAUAAAAUAUAAGCACAAACCAGAGUUUUCAUAGUGCCAGUGAUCUUAUUGCUUCUCUCCUCCGUUACUAUCUUGACGUUUUUCUUGCCCUUUUCCUGUAUUUGGCUAUUUCAACUUCCCUUGUCUAAUAGAGAAAAUUUAGCCUCUACCUUCAUAGAUUCUGAGGCAGUGCAUUAUGCAUAUAACUGAAAUACUCUUCCAUUAAUUUUCCUUAUGGGAAUGGCAGCAGAAUGAGUGACAAUUAUGUUAUAGAUCAUCUGUUUUGCAUAAUAGACCUCUACCCAUAAAUCCUAUGAAUUCAGAGUAUACUAUAAUUCUUUUCUUUCUAUUCUUCUAACAACAUAAGAAGCCUGAACCAUCCAGCUGAUGGUAUUCUUAUCAACAAUCAUAAAACGUCCAGAUGAUCAGAGCUCAUGAUCCUAAAGAUCAAGUGACCCAUUUUGGAAGUGGGCCAUCAUAUGUGACUCAGAGUCACUAACUCCAACCCUUCAUAAUAAGAUCAGUAUUUGGACUCCAACAGAGCAUCACUCAGAUCAUGUUAUCCUUCAAAAGAAUGCCUAUAAUUAAACUGUAGAUAAAUAAAAAGAAAUUGGACCAUCCAUCAUAUCAGCAAGCUCUGGAUAAGAAUAGCAGAUGGCAGGACAUAUCACUUUUAACUAUAAUCUUUACCCUAGCAUGUUUUUUUUUUUUUCUCUCUCCUCACUUUCUAGCAUGUUCUCCAAAGCUAUCACAGUUCAAUUCCAACUAGUGCCAUGAUAUCAUGUGAAACCACAUGUAAAGUGAGAUCAAGUAUUUCUUUGCAUAUUCAUUAGCUGAAAGAAUAAAAAAGAUACUCAAAAACAUUGAGUGUGUUAGAAAUUUGAAAAAUCUGAUCAUGGAUCUUACUUGUGCCUGUUGAGAUUCCUACAGCUUGUUUGUUUCUGUAUCAUAAACAUUUAGUGAUAUUGGAUUUUUGCCAGGAAAUAGAAGUGCAUUCCCAUGUCUAAGAGUAUGGUGUUCCGCUAAAGUUAUCAAAUGGACAAACGAGACUACUUGCUGUAGUUUUUCUGUUAGGAUCUGCUUUAGUUCCUCACUAUCUUAAGCCAGUCUAUUACACAGAUUUCAGUAAUUGUCAUUUCUGAGGUAAGAGAGAAAGGGACAUGGAGGAACCUGGGUUUGCUUAAAAAAAAAAUCCUUU
rnacentral:lncRNA from 1 species